ACAGAAGCAUAUCUUUGAAUGAAUCAAGCAAACAAACUAGUUGGUUACUCUUCAUGCCAGGAAUGGAUUAUGUGGUUUUGGCAUUGCAAAACAUGAAACCUUUGUUUCAUUUUCCUACAUUAAAUAAUGACAUAAUUUACUGCGAUGGUAAGAUAUGAGAAUGUGAAUUAAGAGUUACAUCCAUGGCUUAUUCUAUAUAUUUUAUAUUAAAAGAAAUAAACAGUAAAAU
rnacentral:lncRNA from 1 species